AUCCCACCGAGUAGGGUAUCCAAUCAAAUCGAAGCAUUGGCGUCAAUGCGUCUGCCGUUGUUUACCUUUCGCUUCUUCUUCUAGUCUGUAGAAAAAGCAAUGUCGGCUGCCUCUGCUCAUUAGCGCCACCUCUGUUCAGGAGAAGACUACAACUAGUCUAUUAGACCGCUGAC